rnacentral:tRNA from 1 species
UCCCUGGUGGCUCACUCAGUAAAGAGUUUGCCUGCAAUGCAGGAGACCCAGGUUCCAUCCCUGGUUUGGGAA